UACGUAGGGACCAAGCGUUGUCCGGAACCAUUGGGCGUAAAGAGCGUGUAGGCGGCUUGUUAAGUCUUGCGUGAAAUCUCGGGGCUCAACCCCGAGCGGUCGUGAGAAACUGGCAGGCUAGAGUGCGGGAGAGGAGAGUGGAAUUCCUGGUGUAGCGGUGGAAUGCGCAGAUAUCAGGAGGAACACCAAUAGCGAAGGCAGCUCGCUGGGACGGUACUGACGCUAAGGCGCGAAAGCGUGGGGAGCGAACAGG
rnacentral:rRNA from 1 species